AUUGAACGCUGGCGGCAGGCCUAACACAUGCGAGUCGAACGGUAACAGGAAGAAGCUUGCUUCUUUGCUGACGAGUGGCGGACGGGUGAGUAAUGUCUGGGAAACUGCCUGAUGGAGGGGGAUAACUACUGGAAACGGUAGCUAAUACCGCAUAACGUCGCAAGACCAAAGAGGGGGACCUUCGGGCCUCUUGCCAUCGGAUGUGCCCAGAUGGGAUUAGCUAGUAGGUGGGGUAACGGCUCACCUAGGCGACGAUCCCUAGCUGGUCUGAGAGGAUGACCAGCCACACUGGAACUGAGACACGGUCCAGACUCCUACGGGAGGCAGCAGUGGGGAAUAUUGCACAAUGGGCGCAAGCCUGAUGCAGCCAUGCCGCGUAUAUGAAGAAGGCCUUCGGAUUGUAAAGUACUUUCAGCGGGGAGGAAGGGAGUAAAGUUAAUACCUUUGCUCAUUGACGUUACCCGCAGAAGAAGCACCGGCUAACUCCGUG
rnacentral:rRNA from 1 species